GUCCAGCUGAGAACAGACUGAGGGCUCAUCUUGCAGCCAAAAAGUCUGAGUGAGAGGACGACACUAAGAAAUUGGUGGGUAUACAUAAUGACUUGUUUGAAGCAGAUGUCAAGUGUCAGCCUACAGUGCCAUGGUUAUAAUCAACUGGAAGUAAAAUGAUUUCAAGUAGGAUUCAUGGAAAGUUUACUUCAGGUUCUUUAAUGGCAAAAGAACACAGGACCACGUCGGCAACUGACUAUUAGCUCUCAGCAGAAAGGUUUGCAUGGGCAUUUUUGACAACCUGGCAAUGAAAUAAUAGUCAAGAGUUGGCUGACUUCUAGAGAGACAGAAACUUAAA